AUUGAACGCUGGCGGCAUGCUUUACACAUGCAAGUCGAACGGCAGCGCGGUCUUUGUCUGGGCUGCGCGUGGGGAACGGGUGAGUGAUGCAGGGGAACAUCCCCAGCUGUGGUUUAGAGCGCGUUGAAGGACGGAUUACUACCGCAUACGAGCAGAUGGUGAAAGCGGGUGAGCGAAGGACCUCUCGCUCUUGUGGGGGUCGAUGUGGGACUAGCUAGUUGGUUGGGUAAAGGGUUACCAAGGCGACGAUCCGUAGCUGGUCUGAGAGGAGGAUCGGCCACACUGGAACUGAGACACGGCCCAGACUCCUACGGGAGGCAGCAGUGGGGAAUUUUGGACAAUGGGGGCAAACCUGAUCCAGCCAUGCCGCGUGCGAGAAGAAGGCCUUCGGGUUGUAAAGCCCUUUUGUUGGGGAAGAAAAGCUCUGGGCUAAUACCCCGCGGGGGUGACGGUACCGGAAGAAUAAGCACCGGCUAACUACGUG
rnacentral:rRNA from 1 species